CCUACGGUGUGCAGCAGUGAGGAAUAUUGGUCAAUGGGCGCGAGUCUGAACCAGCCAAGUAGCGUGAAGGAUGACUGCCCUACGGGUUGUAAACUUCUUUUAUAUAGGAAUAAAGUGAGGCACGUGUGCCUUUUUGUAUGUACUUUAUGAAUAAGGAUCGGCUAACUCCGUGCCAGCAGCCGCGGUAAUACGGAGGAUCCGAGCGUUAUCCGGAUUUAUUGGGUUUAACGGGAGCGUAGAUGGGUUGUUAAGUCAGUUGUGAAAGUUUGCGGCUCAACCGUAAAAUUGCAAUUGAGACUGGCAGUCUUGAGUACAGUAGAGGUAGGCGGAAUUCGUGGUGUAGCGGUGAAAUGCUUAGAUAUCACGAAGAACUCAGAUUGCGAAGGCAGCCUACUAAACUGCCACUGACAUUGAUGCUCGAAAGUGUGGGUAUCAAACAGGAUUAGAUACCCCGGUAGUC
rnacentral:rRNA from 1 species